rnacentral:pre_miRNA from 1 species
GAAAUACUCCCUCCGUUCCAAAAUAGAUGACUCAAUUUUGUACCUAAGUAAGUGCAAAGUUGAGUCAUCUAUUUUGGAACGGAGGGAGUAUAAA